GUGCAAAAGUAGCAUGCAUAUUUUCCCAACAGGUCAAUUUUUUGAGAGGUCCCCCCUCGCCCCUCUUUUGCUAUGUUCAGACCAGACCAUUUUUGAUCAUUGUCCAGACCUAUGGUCUGUCUUUUCUCGUUACUAUGGUAACUAUCACAACUGUAUGAUGCAAUAGUUCCUAUUUAACUAAUGUUACAUGAGGUAUUCCUAAUGGGCAUCCUAAGGCCAAAAAAAAUAUGUGGGUUUCCGGUUUCCCGACCCUGCCUAGCUUUUGGACGUCGAAAUCCCGACCCUAAACUUUUUUAUUGGAUUUGGAUCACGCUUGUGAGUGUUUCCACUUAGAGGAAAAAAUUUGUGGAAAAUUGAAAUUUGAGGCAAUAUUAGGGAAAUUUAUCUUUGGAUGUGGAAGCACUGACUAAACAAAAUGGCGUCCGCUUGUUCGGAAAAAUAAAAAAA